GACAGAGGGUGCAAGCGUUAAUCGGAAUUACUGGGCGUAAAGCGCUCGUAGGUGGUUGACUAAGCCAGAUGUAAAAGCCCCGGGCUUAACCUGGGAAUGCCAUUUGGGACUGGUUGACUGGAGUUGGGUAGAGGAAAGUAGAAUUUCCGGUGUAGCGGUGAAAUGCGUAGAUAUCGGAAGGAAUACCAGUGGCGAAGGCGGCUUUCUGGACCCUAACUGACACUGAGGAGCGAAAGCGUGGGUAGCAAACAGG
rnacentral:rRNA from 1 species